AUGAACGCUGGCGGCGUGCCUCAUACAUGCCAGUCGAGCGAACAGACGAGGAGCUUGCUCCUCUGACGUUAGCGGCGGACGGGUGAGUAACACGUGGAUAACCUACCUAUAAGACUGGGAUAACUUCGGGAAACCGGAGCUAAUACCGGAUAAUAUAUUGAACCGCAUGGUUCCAUAGUGAAAGACGGUUUUGCUGUCACUUAUAGAUGGAUCCGCGCCGCAUUAGCUAGUUGGUAAGGUAACGGCUUACCAAGGCAACGAUGCGUAGCCGACCUGAGAGGGUGAUCGGCCACACUGGAACUGAGACACGGUCCAGACUCCUACGGGAGGCAGCAGUAGGGAAUCUUCCGCAAUGGGCGAAAGCCUGACGGAGCAACGCCGCGUGAGUGAUGAAGGUCUUCGGAUCGUAAAACUCUGUUAUUAGGGAAGAACAAAUGUGUAAGUAACUAUGCACGUCUUGACGGUACCUAAUCAGAAAGCCACGGCUAACUACGUG
rnacentral:rRNA from 1 species